AUAUCAAUAAGCGGAGGAAAAGAAACCAACUGGGAUUGCCUUAGUAACGGCGAGUGAAGCGGCAACAGCUCAAAUUUGAAAUCUGGCCCUUCCGGGGUCCGAGUUGUAAUUUGUAGAGGAUGCUUCGGGCAACGCUGCGGUACAAGUCUCUUGGAACAGGGCGUCAUAGAGGGUGAGAAUCCCGUCCUCAACCGUGAGCCGCGUCCAUGUGAAGCUCCUUCGACGAGUCGGGUUGUUUGGGAAUGCAGCUCAAAAUGGGUGGUAAAUUUCAUCUAAAGCUAAAUAUUGGCCAGAGACCGAUAGCGCACAAGUAGAGUGAUCGAAAGAUGAAAAGCACUUUGAAAAGAGAGUUAAACAGCAUGUGAAAUUGUUGAAAGGGAAGCGCUUGCAGCCAGACUUGUGGGCGGUGAUUCAGCCGUUCUUCUGAUCGGUGCACUUUGCCGUCUCCAGGCCAGCAUCGGUUUGGGCAGCCAGUUAAAGGCCUCGGGAAUGUAUCGACCCUCCGGGGUUGACUUAUAGCCCGGGGUGCCAUGUGGCUCGCCUAGACCGAGGUACGCGCUCUGCACGGAUGCUGGCGUAAUGGCUGUAAGCGACCCGUCUUGAAACACGGACCAAGGAGUCUAACAUCUAUGCGAGUGUUCGGGUGUCAAACCCUUGCGCGUAAUGAAAGUGAACGGAGGUAGGAACCCCUUGGGGCGCACUAUCGACCGAUCCUGAUGUUCUCGGAUGGAUUUGAGUAAGAGCAUAGCUGUUGGGACCCGAAAGAUGGUGAACUAUGCGUGUAUAGGGUGAAGCCAGAGGAAACUCUGGUGGAGGCUCGCAGCGGUUCUGACGUGCAAAUCGAUCGUCAAAUACGCGUAUAGGGGCGAAAGACUAAUCGAACCAUCUGGUAGCUGGUUCCUGC
rnacentral:rRNA from 1 species